rnacentral:rRNA from 1 species
AGAGUUUGAUCAUGGCUCAGAUUGAACGCUGGCGGCGUGCUUAACACAUGCAAGUCGAGCGAGAAAGCUCUCUUCGGAGAGUGAGUAGAGCGGCGCACGGGUGAGUAACGCGUGGAUAAUCUGCCCUGAAGAUCGGGAUAACAGUUGGAAACGACUGCUAAUACCGGAUACCCUGCAUAUUUAACUUUAUGUGGUAAAGGUGGCCUCUAUUUAUAAGCUACCGCUUUGGGAUGAGUCCGCGUCUCAUUAGCUUGUUGGUGGGGUAAUGGCUCACCAAGGCAACGAUGAGUAGCUGGUCUGAGAGGAUGAUCAGCCACACUGGGACUGAAACACGGCCCAGACUCCUACGGGAGGCAGCAGUGGGGAAUAUUGCGCAAUGGGGGAAACCCUGACGCAGCGACGCCGCGUGCGGGAAGAAGGCCUUCGGGUCGUAAACCGCUGUCAGGAGGGAAGAAACUGUUAGGGUAUAAUACGCCCUUUCACUGACGGUACCUCCAAAGGAAGCACCGGCUAACUCCGUGCCAGCAGCCGCGGUAAUACGGAGGGUGCGAGCGUUAAUCGGAAUCACUGGGCGUAAAGCGCGCGUAGGCGGCGCAUCAAGUCACGCGUGAAAGCCCUCGGCUCACCCGGGGAAUUGCGUUUGAAACUGGUGUGCUGGAGUCUCGGAGAGGUUGGCGGAAUUCCAGGUGUAGGAGUGAAAUCCGUAGAUAUCUGGAGGAACACGGUGGCGAAGCGGCCAACUGGACGAGUACUGACGCUGAGUGCGAAAGCGUGGGGAGCAACAGGAUUAGAUACCCUGUAGUCACGCU